AGAGUUUGAUCCUGGCUCAGAGCGAACGCUGGCGGCAGGCCUAACACAUGCAAGUCGAGCGGGCCCUUUCGGGGGUCAGCGGCAGACGGGUGAGUAACGCGUGGGAACGUACCCUUCGGUUCGGAACAACUCCGGGAAACUGGAGCUAAUACCGGAUACGUCCGAGAGGAGAAAGAUUUAUCGCCGAAGGAUCGGCCCGCGUCUGAUUAGCUAGUUGGUGAGGUAACGGCUCACCAAGGCGACGAUCAGUAGCUGGUCUGAGAGGAUGAUCAGCCACACUGGGACUGAGACACGGCCCAGACUCCUACGGGAGGCAGCAGUGGGGAAUAUUGGACAAUGGGCGCAAGCCUGAUCCAGCCAUGCCGCGUGAGUGAUGAAGGCCCUAGGGUUGUAAAGCUCUUUCACCCACGACGAUAAUGACGGUAGUGGGAGAAGAAGCCCCGGCUAACUUCGUGCCAGCAGCCGCGGUAAUACGAAGGGGGCUAGCGUUGCUCGGAAUCACUGGGCGUAAAGGGCGCGUAGGCGGCCAAUCAAGUCAGGGGUGAAAGCCUGUGGCUCAACCACAGAAUGGCCUUUGAUACUGUUCGGCUCGAGACCGGAAGAGGUUGGUGGAACUGCGAGUGUAGAGGUGAAAUUCGUAGAUAUCAAGCAGAACACCUGCGGCGAAGGCGGCCUUCUGGACGAUGACUGACGCUGAGACGCGAAAGCGUGGGGAGCAAACAGGAUUAGAUACCCCCGUAGUCC
rnacentral:rRNA from 2 species